rfam:Beta vulgaris subsp. vulgaris Bvchr2.sca014.con0239.1, whole genome shotgun sequence.
AAUCCAUGGUGAGGGCAUUGAGCAAGUAAAUCCUUAAAUCUAUCUAAAUAUUUCCAAAAACUUUCACGUUCUAGUUGAAUGAAUUGGUUAAUUUCAUUUCUAAGUCU